CCGAAUCGUAACUUGAGAGAUAAUCUUCGAAUAAUAAUUAACUGAUUAACGAAGUAGUACAUGGUGAAUUGGGCACAUAAGUGGGACACAGCCCACCAAAAUUAUUUAUUGACGAUGCUUAAGUUAAAAGAGUUCCUGGGAGGGGGGGCAUUGGUGCUGGCAUUCUUCUCUGCUAUGGAAGCAUAACUCAAGGUGGCUGCACCACGAAUGGCAACGACCAACGCGAAAGCAAUACAGCUCCUUCUCAUCUCCCACCCCUUCAACACCAUUACCAUUACCAUUACCAUUUAUCCCUCGAGACCACCCUAACUUCACCUCUGCAAACCCAAAACCACGCAUCAAUCCCUCUCUCUCAAUGCAUUUUUAUUUUUUCUUUCUAAGCAAUGUGAAUGUGAAAACGGCACAUAUGCCACUAUAUUUGAGUUUUCUAGGAAUUAUGGUUUUUUAUAAUAUCGAAGCACCCUAUAAAUUUUUAAGUAUCAUAGCGGUCGAAUGUAUAGAACAUCGGGCCCAUACAUCGGACCGCCUCAUAAAAGAGAAUCGAUUGCAUCCUAGGAUGGUCCAGAGUUGCCAAUUGGACCACCCCAGAAAUGGGGCAAUCUGAUAGUUUAUCCUUCAUAUCACCUCACAAAUGCCAAAAACAAAAAAAAAAACAGUUCGAUGUUUGCAACAUAAAACUGAAGGAAAAUCAAGAAAAAUUAAAGGGCAAGCUUUCUAUACUUCCUCUAUUGUAUAAAACUUAUAUACUUCCUUCUAAUCGACCAUCCAUUCUUAAUGGACGAUUGAGAUGGCCCCACUCACAAUGUCACGCCUUUACACUAUUUUAUUUUUAAUUUUUUCAUAAAAUAUUUUAUUACCAAAUUUGGGAGUCAACUUCUUUUCACCUAUAAAAAAUAUGAAAACAAUAUUCCCAAUAAACUAAAUUGAUCAAAACGCCCCCUGAAUAUUUCAAGAGAAUUUUGGUUGCUUUAUUUUAUUUUAAAUAUGAGUAAUGAUACUAUGAGACCCUCCCGCACCUAUGUGAGUAGCACCCCAAAGGAUCACCACUAAAUUUCUACACAAAUCUUUAGAAAAGUUAUUAAUAAACCCAUUCACCCAAAUCCCACACCCAUGUGAUAACUUUUUUAGAUAUUUGUGUCAAAAUUUAAUGGUGAUCCUUUCGGGUUCUACUCACAUGGGUGUGGGAGGGUCUCAUAGUGUCAUUACUCUUUAAAUAUUAUUCAUAUAUUAUUUAGGUGCUCCCCAUUGUGAUGACAGCACGUACCAAAUUUCAUAUUCGUGUAUAUAUAUAUAUAUAUAUAUAUAUAUAUAUAUGUAUGCGUCAGAUCUAANNNNNNNNNNNNNNNNNNNNAUGUUGUAAAAUGCACUAUUUCUGAUAUUUAAAAUCUUUUUAUUUUUAAUGGUCAUACAUCUCGAUGUCGAGAUAAUCAAUCAAAGGGUUUUCAACAAUAAAUCUAUAUUUUUCGAUGGAUUUUUGAUGCGCAUCCAUAGCUCUACAUUAUAAGGUUGCAUCCUUAUAUAAACUUUUUCUUUCUCAAAAUUAAAACACAAAGAAAAAGACCUUUCCAUAAAAAUUUCUGAAAAUAUAGACCAAAUGGUAAUUUUAUAAAUCUAACCUGUUACAGUUGACCGCCAUUGGUGACCCUAUAGCGGCCAACCUAAACUAGAGAUCACAAAAUCCUUGCCCUAAGACGUUUAAGUUAGAUAACGUACCAGGGGAAAGAGCAGCAACCACAAUAAAAACAAUCAGCAAAAUAGACACAGGAGAGCGAAUGGCAGCCAUGGCUUAAGUUCCUUCAAGAAAGAGAGAAGGGAGAGAGAGCAAAAAACAGAGAGAGUGGUUGUAAACAAUGGUUCUUGAAGGAUUUCUUAUAAUGGUUAAAAUGAAUACGUACCUCUUUUUCGGGCAACUUACAUCGACAAAAAUGGUAUAUGUCCCUCUUACCAAAAAUAGGUUGGAGAUGAAUAUCUUGAGAGGGAAUCUCGGUGCUCACGCCCCACGCAUGCAACUUAUGCUGCAAUUUAUAUAAAGUAGAAUACGGAUGAAGAAAAGAUUAGGAAAUUAUAAGAAAUAGGGAAAAUUAAUAAUCCGAAUCCCCAUGCUAAGAUUAGGGAGGGAAAGGGGGAAUUACAUAAACCCAUUUGACUCAACUUUCUUUAUAACUUCCUCCCAAUUAAUUUUUUUUAUCACAACUUUUAUUACAAAACUAAUUUUUAUAGCAAAGAUUUCCCUAAAUAAAAAAGAAAGUCAAAGUUUGGAAGAUGAAAAUACCCUUGUAUAUACAUAAAUGAGUCACAUUCUCGUCGAAGCUCAAUCAUGAAAGACGAUCCGACACAUAUUACUGUUGAACCGAAAUCCAUACCACAUUAACUGCCGGACCGCAUGCAACUUAUGCGGAACCAAUGCAUCAUAGUGUCAGAUCGAAAAAAUAUACUGUUGAACCGCUUUAGGAAUUGCCUGACUAUAGGCCUUGCAAGAAACAUUGUCGGACCGUACGACAAAUAUGCCGGACCGUAUGGCCCAUGUUGCUUGGCCACAUUUACAAGUGCCGGAUCGAUGAUAUUCAAUGACCAAGGGGAGGGCAUUUUGGUCCAAAGAACUAUAGGUUUUUUACUUUGGGGUAUUUGCUAUAAAAAUUUCUUUUGGGGUAAAAAUUGUGAUAAAAACAUUGGUUGGGGGAAAUUGUCUAAAAAGCCCAAUUUAGAGAGUAUCUGUAAUUUUACCUCUCCUUUUCUACUACUCCCCAAGAUAACAAGUUAUUGUUUUAGGACCAAAAUGCCCCCAUUAGACCCCUAUUUACUUCAUUCUUUUUUAUUUCCAAACCAAAAAAUGAGUCUAUUUCGGCACAAUACUGACACAAAAAAAGUGUCGGACCAGUCUGGCCCAUUGAUUUCAUAGUGUCGGAUCAACACUAGGGAAAUGUGGGUAUAAGGAGGGGAAAGGAUACUUUGGUCAUAAUUUUAUUGAUUUUUUGACAAGUACAGUGCGAAAAAAAUAAUAUUGAGGUUUUUUCAGAAACAGUUUUCGGGGGGAGGGGAGAUUUUUUAAAAAGUCGAGUGAAAAAUAAUUUUGGAGAAAACUCGGUAAUUAAUUGAACAUAUAUUUUUGUCUCCUUCUAAAAAGGGGUAUGACAGGCAUGCAAUGGACGUGUCAGAUUUUAUUUUCAAAUGCGCAUUUUCCUUCAAUAACUUGCCUAAUAUAUUCAUUAACAUCCAAAAAAAGAAAAAAUAAUUUCCUAAAAUUUGCUCGUCCAUAUUUAAAUUUAACAGGUCAACCAAAGUCCAUGAUAAGUGUCGCGCCAUUCAAUUUGUUUUAAUCCAAAAAGAAGUGAAUAAAAUUGUAGUGCUACGCCAUUAAUUUUGAUUUAAUCCAAAAAGAAGUGAUAAAAAUUGUAGUACUAAAAAACCUGACCAUUAAACUUUCAGUCACUCAAAAGAUGAGGAAUAUUAUGGUUUUUGCUCAAAAAACACUACUAAAUUAAUGGACACACACAUCUAUAACAGGGUAGAACUACUCGGCUGGCCGAGCCAAGUAGCCAAGCACAAGUCCGGUAUAUAUUACAAAAAAAAAAAAAUACAAUUAAUAAAAAAUAUAUCAACUUGUUGGAUCGAUGUAUAAAAAUUAGAAAAAGCUUAUGAAAGAGCAUAUGCAUUCAAUUUGAAUGAGUUCUUAUUGUCAAAUGUCCUAUUUUUGUAUUUUAUUUUUUAGAUUAUUCUAAAAUGUUUCCAGCAGUGAAUUAAUUUUUUCUAAAUUUAGGUUUUUUAUAGUUUUUUUUUUUUCGGCUUAUUUGGAUCCUUAUGUUAGUCUUUAGCUUUUUUUAUUGGCUUAUUUUCAUCUUUAUGUUAAUCUUGAGUAUUUUUUUUUUUCUUUUUUUUUUUUUUUUGUUUUUAACUAUUACAUUUUCAGUUUAAUUUGUAGCAUUUAUUUGUUUUUUAAUAUUGAUUUUAAGGCCUUUCUUGGCCCUAUAUGCUACUUGGCCAAGUCCACUCAAACUUGGCCGUUUUAUUCAGCUCGGGUUAGGGGCGAAUCCAAGGCCCGGUCGCCUGAGUCAACUAAACAAUAUUUUUGGGUGAAUAAGUCAAGUAAACAAUAUUAUCGUUGUUGCUAGUGUUCCGUUGCCGAGGGUUGUAUAAGAAUCCACCGGUUCACGCAAAAAAAAUAAAAAAAAAUCAACGAUCUGGAUAAAAAAUUGUUCAUACGCCCCACAUGUACUCCCAAUCUUGGGUGGGAUAAGCAAGUUGCAAGCUGCUAAUGCAUAUGUAGUAACGCACGCCAAAGGCUUUUAGAAAGCCCAUCCCUUCAUGAAUUCCCGGAUGUGGGACUUUUGUUUCCUUUGUUUAGUUUCGAAUAAAAUGUAGCUUGCACUACUCAAUAAAAAACAACAUAGUUUACAACUAAAUUUAUGUUAUGUAGAAUGAGCGCAUACUAUAGAAUCUAUUGAUUGGGGUUACAAUUACAUAUGACCAUCCGCUGAUAGCUUUUUUGGUGUGUCACAAAGUUCAAUAAAAUUUCUUUUAAACUUUGAGCUUGGUCAAUUAAAAAAAUGCAGACACGCAAUUUCGGUCGAGAUUAAUUUGUAAACACCUUGUAUCAAAGGUGCAUAUUUUUCCUUGUGGGUGAAUAAAUUUAACUGGUUAUCAAAUCAAAGUGCUUAAGUAUAGUUCAGCAGUUGAUUCCAUUGGGUGAGAUGAAAUUGAAGGAUAAUGUUGAGGCGAGAUACAUGAUAUCAACUGGUAACCACACAAGCCGAAGCCCGAAUCGUAACUUGAGAGAUAAUCUUGGAAUAAUAAUAAACACAUUAACGAAGAAGUAUAUGGUGAAUUGGGCACGUAAGUGGGACACAGCCCACCAAAAUUAUUUAUUGACGAUGCUUAAGUUAAAAGAGUUCCUGGGAGUGGGGGCAAUGGCGCGAACAUUCUUCUCCGCUAAAGAAGCAUAACUCAAGGCGGUUGCACCACCAAUCGCAACGACCAAGGCGAAAGCAAUACAGCUCCUUCUCAUCUCCCACCCCUUCGACACCAUUACCAUUACCAUUACCAUUUAUCCCUCGAGACCACCCUAACUUCACCUCUGCAAACACAAAACCACCCAUCAAUCCCUCUCUCUCAAUGCAUUUUUAUUUUUUCUUUCUAAGCAAUGUAAAUGUGAAAACAGCACAUAUGCCAGUGUAUUUGAGUUUUCUAGGAAUUAUGGUUUUUUAUAAUAUCGAAUCACCCUAUAAAUUUUUAGGUAUCAUAGCGGUCGAAUGUAUGGAACAUCGGGCCCAUACAUCGGACCGCCUCAUAAAAAAGAAUCGAUUGCAUCCUAGGAUGGUUCAGAGUUGCCUAUUGGACCACCCCAGAAAUGGGGCAAUCUGAUAGUUUAUCCUUUGGACCACCUCACAAAUGCCAAAAACCAGAAAAAAAUCAGUUCAGUGUAUGCAACAUAAGACUGAGGGAAAAUCAGGAAAAAUUAAAGGGCAAGCUUUCUAUACUUCCUCUAUUGUAUAAAACUUAUAUAUUUCCUGCUAUCCGACCAUCCAUUCUGAAUGGACGAUAGAGAUGGCCCCAAUCACAAUGUCAUGCCUCUACCCUAUUUUGUUUUAAAUUUUUUCUUAAAAUAUUUUAUUACCAAAUUUGGGCGUCAACUUCUUUCUACCUAUAAAAAAUAUGAAAACAAUAUUCCAAAUAAGCUAAAUUGAUCAAAACACCCCCUGAAUAUUUGAGGGGAAUUUUGGUUGUUUUAUUUUAUUUUAAAUAUGAGUAAUGAUACUAUGAGACCCUCCCACACCUAUGUGAGUAGGACCCCAAAGGAUCACUAUUAAAUUUCGACACAAAUCUCUAGAAAAAUUAUUAAUAAACCCAUUCACUCAAGUCCCACACCCAUGUGAAAACUUUUCUAAAUAUUUUUGUCAAAAUUUAAUUGUGAUCCUUUCGGGUUCUACUCACAUGGGUGUGGGAGGGUCUCAUAGUGCCAUUACGCUUUAAAUAUUUUUCAUAUAUUAUUUAGGUGCUCCCCAUUGAGAUGAUAGCAUGUACCAAAUUUCAUAUUCGUGUAUAUAUAUAUAUAUAUAUAUAUGUAUAUGAGGCGUCAGAUCUAGAACAAACGGUCAGUGGUCCACUUGAUCUAAAUUGGACAACUUGAUGGAAGAAAGUAUAUAAUGGGAAGUGUAAAAACCUUUCUCAAACGGGUGUAGUUGGCAUACGGAUGCAUCCGUAGGUGUGAAGGUAAGGUGUACCUUCAAAAUUUAUCAUGGUAUACAAUUUUGAUAUAAAAUGUUUUUAGGAUUAUCUCAAAAUUUAUUUUUAUAUCUAAUUAUUAAAUUUUUAAAUUUCAAAAAUGGUUAAAAUCAAGUAGAUCUAUAAACAUAUGAAAAUCUUGAAAAUGGACGGUACAGAUAAUAUGUUGUAAAAUGCACUAUUUCUGAUACUUAAAAUCUUUUUAUUUUUUAUGGUCAUACAUCUCGAUGUCGAGAUGAUCAAUCAAAGGGUUUUUCAAUAAUAAAACUAUAUUUUUCGAUGGAUUUUUUAUGCGCAUCCAUAGCUCUACAUUAUAAGGUUGCAUCCUUAUAUAAACUUUUUCCUUCUCAAAAUUAAAACACAAAGAAAAAGACCUUGCCAUAAAAAUUUCUGAAAAUAUAGACCAAAUGGUAAUUUUAUAAAUCUAACCUGGUACAGUUGACCGCCAUUGGUGACCCUAUAGCGGUCAACCUAGACUAGAGAUCACAAAAUCCUUGCCCUAAGAUGUUUAAGAAAGAUAACGUACCAGAGGAAAGAGCAGCAACCACAAUAAAAACAAUCAGCAAAAUAGACACAGGAGAGCGAAUGGCAGCCAUGGCUUAAGUUUCUUCAAGAAAGAGAGAAGAGAGAGAGAGAAAGCAAAAAACAG
rnacentral:lncRNA from 1 species